rnacentral:lncRNA from 10 species
GCAGUACAUAAAAAGAAGUCUAAAUCAUAAAAAAUCUAGGCUGUUUAGAAAAAAGGUCAAUGUUAUGAAAGAGAAAAAGGUAGUAGAUUGUUCUAGAUUAAGAACUGAGAAUUGACAAACACCACCUGGAUCAGAAAGACAAACACACACACAAACAACAACAGCCAGAAAAGCUAAAAAGGAUAAUUUUGGAAAAUGUGAAUGUGGACUGAAUAGUAGAAUGGCAUUAUUAAAUCAACGUGAAUUAGACUGAAUAGUAGAAAGGCAUUAUUAAAUAAAUGUGAAAUGUUCUUGGGUAUGAUGAUAUGUAGAUAUUCUUCUACGUUCUGUAGAUGAAUGUCCUUGUUCUUAGGAGACACAUAAUGAAGUUUAGGGGUGGAGCGUCAUUGUAUUGGCCAUUUAUUUUCAAAGAGUUUAACAACAACAAUAAAAAUGAAGUGUGUUCCAGUGUCUAAAUAUACACAAAUAAAUGCACACAAAUAUGACAAAGUACCAGAAACCAAUGAUCUAGGUGAAGGAUAUGCAGGGAUUUACUGAAUAACCCCCACGCUUCCCAUAUUUUUCCAAUGGUUUGAAAUUUUUCAAAGUAAGUAGUUGGGGACAAAAUUCUAGGGUAGCUAAGAUAUUUACAUAUAAUCUAUACAAGAGAGACUGUCAUGGGUUACUCAGUCACAAAUUCCACUAGUGACUUUUUUUUUUUUUUUUUUUUUUUUUUUGAGACAGAGUCUUGCUCUGUCACCCAGGCCGGAAUGCAGUGGUAUAAUCUCAGCUCACUGCAACCUCUGCCUCCCAGGCUCAAGCGAUUCUUGUGCCUCAGCCUCCCGAGUAGCUGGGAUCACGGGCAUGCGCCACCACGCUCAGCUAAUUGUUGUAUUUUUGGUAGAUAUGGGGUUUUUUCAUGUUGAUCAGGCUGGUCUCAAACUCCUGGCCUCAAGUGAUCCACCUGCCUUGGCCUCCCAAAGUGCUGGGAUUACAGGUGUGAGCCACCGCAGACAGCCACACUAGUCACUUUUAUUAUAAUGAAAAAUAAGCAUUGAUUUUUAUAAGCAAGCUCCCCAUUUACUGCUUGUUUCAUUUCUUUUUUCCUGUUCUACUUAAAAUUUAAAAAGGGCAUAGCAAGAUGAAAACACAACCUUGAGCUUCACUUUCUUUAUGUCUGGGUAAAUUUUUUUUUAAUAUGGUAGCCAUUUUAACUUUUCUUUUCUUUUUUUUUUUUUUAAGAUGGGGUCUCGCUAUGUUGCCCAGGCUGGACUCAAACUUCUGGGCUGAAUUAAUCUUCUCACCUCAGCCUCUCCGGUAGCUGGAGUACAGGUAUGUACCACCGUGCCUGGCUUCUUUCACCUUUCUAAAUAGUGAAUCUUUUUUGAUUCAUGACAGGCAUGAAGUCUGUCUGAAAGCUCCAGCUUUGCUCACAUAAUGCACAAGUUAACAUGAAAAUAACAUGUAAGUGCCCACUGUGGGCUCAGCACGGGAGGCUGCAGGCAAGGGUCUGGGCUCUGCUGUUGGGAGGUGAGCACAGAAACCAAAUAGGACAGUUAGAGUGGACCUACAGCAUAGCAGACACUGAGCAAAAUAAGUCUGCAUUUUUUUUUUUUUUUGAGACGGAGUCUUUCUCUGUCACUCAGGUGGGAGCGCAGUGGCGCAAUCUCGGCUCACUGCAACCUCCACCUCCCGGGUUCAAGUGAUU